rnacentral:rRNA from 1 species
AAAGCCUGAUGCAGCUAUGCCGCGUGUAUGAAGAAGGCCUUCGGGUUGUAAAGUACUUUCAACAAGAAAGAAAAAAUAAAAUCUAAUAUAUUUUAUUCUUGACGUUACUUGGAAAAGAAGCACCGGCUAACUCCGUGCCAGCAGCCGCGGUAAUACGGAGGGUGCUAGCGUUAAUCGGAAUUACUGGGCGUAAAGAGCACGUAGGCGGUUAAUUAAGUCAGAUGUGAAAUCCCUAAGCUUAACUUAGGAACUGCAUUUGAAACUAAUUAACUUGAGUUUCGUAGAGGGGGGUAGAAUUCCAGGUGUAGCGGUGAAAUGCGUAGAUAUCUGGAGGAAUACCAGUGGCGAAGGCGACCCCCUGGACGAAUACUGACGCUCAGGUGCGAAAGCAUGGGGAGCAAACAGGAUUAGAUACCCUGGUAGUCCAUGCUGUAAACGAUGUCGACUUGAAGGUUGUAAGCUUGACUUGUAACUUUCGUAGCUAACGCGUUAAGUCGACCGCCUGGGGAGUACGACCGCAAGGUUAAAACUCAAAUGAAUUGACGGGGGCCCGCACAAGCGGUGGAGCAUGUGGUUUAAUUCGAUGCAACGCGAAAAACCUUACCUGGUCUUGACAUCCAUGGAAUUUAAUAGAGAUAUUUAAGUGCCUUCGGGAACCAUGAGACAGGUGCUGCAUGGCUGUCGUCAGCUCGUGUUGUGAAAUGUUGGGUUAAGUCCCGCAACGAGCGCAACCCUUGUCCUUUGUUGCCAUCAGUUUAGCUGGGAACUCAAAGGAAACUGCCGGUGAUAAACCGGAGGAAGGUGAGGACGACGUCAAGUCAUCAUGGCCCUUACGACCAGGGCUACACACGUGCUACAAUGGUAUAUACAAAGGGAAGCAUCCUCGUAAGAGUAAGCGGAUCUCACAAAAUAUAUCUUAGUUCGGAUUGGAGUCUGCAACUCGACUCUAUGAAGUCGGAAUCGCUAGUAAUCGUAGAUCAGAACGCUACGGUGAAUACGUUCCCGGGCCUUGUACACACCGCCCGUCACACCAUGGGAGUGGGUUGUAAAAGAAGUAAAUUGCUUAACCAUUUUUGGAGGG